rnacentral:rRNA from 1 species
UGGCGGCAGCUAUAAUGCAGUAGAACGCUGAAGGAGGAGCUUGCUUCUCUGGAUGAGUUGCGAACGGGUGAGUAACGCGUAGGUAACCUGCCUGGUAGCGGGGGAUAACUAUUGGAAACGAUAGCUAAUACCGCAUAAUAGUAGAUGUCGCAUGACAUUUGCUUAAAAGGUGCAAUUGCAUCACUACCAGAUGGACCUGCGUUGUAUUAGCUAGUUGGUGAGGUAACGGCUCACCAAGGCAACGAUACAUAGCCGACCUGAGAGGGUGAUCGGCCACACUGGGACUGAGACACGGCCCAGACUCCUACGGGAGGCAGCAGUAGGGAAUCUUCGGCAAUGGACGGAAGUCUGACCGAGCAACGCCGCGUGAGUGAAGAAGGUUUUCGGAUCGUAAAGCUCUGUUGUAAGAGAAGAACGAGUGUGAGAGUGGAAAGUUCACACUGUGACGGUAUCUUACCAGAAAGGGACGGCUAACUACGUGCCAGCAGCCGCGGUAAUACGUAGGUCCCGAGCGUUGUCCGGAUUUAUUGGGCGUAAAGCGAGCGCAGGCGGUUAGAUAAGUCUGAAGUUAAAGGCUGUGGCUUAACCAUAGUACGCUUU